rnacentral:rRNA from 1 species
UACGUAGGGGGCUAGCGUUGUCCGGAAUUACUGGGUGUAAAGGGUGCGUAGGCGGGCACUUAAGUCAGAUGUGAAAACCACGGGCUCAACUUGUGGACUGCAUUUGAAACUGGGUGUCUUGAGUACAGGAGAGGAAAGUGGAAUUCCUAGUGUAGCGGUGAAAUGCGUAGAUAUUAGGAGGAACACCAGUGGCGAAGGCGACUUUCUGGACUGACACUGACGCUGAGGCACGAAAGUGUGGGGAGCAAACAGG